CCACCUAAUAAUUAAAUAAUAUAAAUAAAAUAAAAUAAGCCUAAAACCAAAAGCUAAACCAUUCUUUUACCUGAGUACGGGAGACAGAAAAGGUCCUACCAAAGCAAUAGAAAUAGUACCGCAAGGGAAAGCUGAAAGAGAAAUGAAAUAACCCAUAUAAGCACUAAAAAGCAAAGAUUAAAUCUUGUACCUUUUGCAUCAUGAUUUAGCCAGUACACCCAAGCAAAGAGACCUUUAGUUUGAAACCCCGAAACCAAGUGAGCUACCCCGAGACAGCCUAUUAAGGGCCAACCCGUCUCUGUGGCAAAAGAGUGGGAAGAACUCCGGGUAGAAGUGACAGACCUACCGAACCUGGUGAUAGCUGGUUGCCUAAGAAGUGAAUAGAAGUUCAGCCUCGUGUUCCCCAAAUCAAAAAUAAAUAAGACCAAGAGAAAUACACGAGAGUUAGUUAAAGGGGGUACAGCCCCUUUAACAAAGGACACAACCUUUACAGGAGGAUAAAGAUCAUAAUAUAUAAAAUAUACUGUUCUAGUGGGCCUAAAAGCAGCCACCCAAACAGAAAGCGUUAAAGCUCAGACAGAAAGAAGUUUAUUAUUCUGACAAAAAAUCUUACUCCCCUAAAUACUAUUAGGCCAGCCCAUGCCUACAUGGGAGAGACUAUGCUAAAAUGAGUAACAAGAAGGCUUGCCCUUCUCCCGGCACAAGUGUAAGCCAAAUCGGACCCACCAUUGGCAAUUAACGAACUCAACUCAAGAGAGCAAUGUGGAUUACAAAAAUACCAAGAAGAGCCCACAACUAAAUUAUCGUUACCCCCACACUGGAGUGCCAUUUAAAGGAAAGACUAAAAGAAAAGGAAGGAACUCGGCAAACACAAGCCUCGCCUGUUUACCAAAAACAUCGCCUCUUGCAACCCAACUAAGUAUAGGAGGUCCAGCCUGCCCAGUGACCACAAGUUCAACGGCCGCGGUAUUUUGACCGUGCAAAGGUAGCGCAAUCACUUGUCUUUUAAAUAGAGACCUGUAUGAAUGGCUAAACGAGGGCUUAACUGUCUCCCCUUUCAAGUCAGUGAAAUUGAUCUGCCCGUGCAGAAGCG
rnacentral:rRNA from 1 species